CGUCUAUAUACGUAUAGCAUAUCAAUAAGCGGAGGAAAAGAAACUAACAAGGAUUCCCUUAGUAACGGCGAGUGAAGCGGGAAGAGCUCAAAUUUGAAAUCUUCAAGGUUCUACCUUGACGAAUUGUAGUUUAAAGAAGUGUUUUCUGUUAGAGUUUGAGUAGCAAAAGUUCUUUGGAAUAGGACAUCAUAGAGGGUGAGAAUCCCGUAUUUGACUAUUAUUUUCUAGCUGUGUGAUACACUUUCAAAGAGUCGGAUUGUUUGGGAAUGCAGUCCAAAAUGGGUGGUAAAUUUCAUCUAAAGCUAAAUAUUGGCGAGAGACCGAUAGCGAACAAGUACCGUGAGGGAAAGAUGAAAAGAACUUUGAAAAGAGAGUUAAACAGUACGUGAAAUUGUCAAAAGGGAAGCGUUUGACACCAGUGUUGUUUUUCCGAAAAUCAAUUAAGAGGGACUUGAUUUUGUGUUGUAUUGACCUUAUCAGCUUUCUUCACUCUUUUUCGAGUCUUUCUUAAUGCACUUUUCGGUUAACAAGUCAACAUCAAUUUCUUUUGUUGUAAAAGGGUAUUUGGAAGGUGGCUUUCUUUUCGGAGAAAGUGUUUAUAGCCUUAUACCUCUACAAUCGGAGAGAUUGAGGUCUGCAGCGUAGAUCCUUCGGGGCUAGAUACACUUGUGCUAAGUUAUAGCUUUUCAUAGACAACUUGUUGACUAUGUUUAGUCAUGUAGCUUACCCGCUUGUGCUAUUUUACCUACGCUUAGGAUGUUGAGUCAUCACACAUCUC
rnacentral:rRNA from 1 species